rnacentral:ribozyme from 1 species
GAAAGAGAAAAAAAUAAAAUGAAAUAACGAAAUAACAUUGUUGAAGGAGUAUGAUUUUAGUAUUUUUUUUUUUUUUUUUUUUU